rnacentral:tRNA from 1 species
GAGGGUAUAGCUCAGUGGUAGAGCACGUGCUUAGCACGCACGAGGUCCUGGGUUCAAUCCCCAGUACCUCCA